UCUUUCGUCUCAUUUCCAUUUUAUGAUUCCUCGUGGUUAGAACUGUUUUACGUCGUAGGAAAGAAAGAACAAGGAAAAAUGGUCAGUUAAUCAAGUCUUUCUUCUAAACAAGGAGAGAAACAACGUGGAGACAUUACUCUUUUUACUUGAAUUUGACUUGGACCAACUUGACAAGUUUUCCAUGUCAAUACAGAACACAAGAUGAACUGAUAUGAAUGAGGAAUCUUAAAUCGAGCAUGGGAGUGAAAAGGAACACAAGAAAAAAAGGCAAGAAUUACGUAAAGUCCUGAUGUCCUGGCGACACGCCUUGUUGAUGGUGGACCACAAGCUUGGAGAGUCAAGACAAGAUUGAACUAAAGAAAAAGUAGCUCAGUUAUUGGAGAGAGUUGAAAUCAAUGUUAAAGGUACCAACUGUAACUUGCACCUAGCGACUACGUUUCCUGCAGAACUAAUUUGGUCACGAAUUGCUGAAAAAAAUGGCCUUAAAAUUUAUUUGAGAGCACAGAUCAGAUUUUUCAAAGUUAAGCAAGUUUAAAUUGUCAGGUGAAGAGCAAAUUUUCUGUUUCAUUUCAAGUUCAUAUCGUUUGGGAAG